UACAGAGGGUGCGAGCGUUGUUCGGAAUUAUUGGGCGUAAAGGGCGCGUAGGCGGUGCGGUAAGUCACUUGUGAAAUCUCCUGGCUCAACUGGGAGCUUGCAGGCGAAACUGCCGUGCUGGAGUAUGGGAGAGGUGAGUGGAAUUUCCGGUGUAGCGGUGAAAUGCGUAGAUAUCGGAAGGAACACCUGUGGCGAAAGCGGCUCACUGGACCAUACUGACGCCGAUGCACGAAAGCUAGGGGAGCAAA
rnacentral:rRNA from 1 species